rnacentral:rRNA from 1 species
CCUACGUGAGGCAGCAGUCGGGAAUAUUGCGCAAUGGAGGCAACUCUGACGCAGUGACGCAGCGUGCAGGAAGAAGGUCUUCGGAUUGUAAACUGUCUUAGACAGGGCAGUAAAAUGACAGUACCUGUCGUAUUAGCUCCGGCUAACUACGUGCCAGCAGCCGCGGUAAUAAGUAGGGCCCAAGCGUUAUCCGGAUUUAUUGGGUGUAAAGGGUGCGUAGACGGAGCAGCAAGUUAGGUGUGAAAUCUCGCGGCUUAACUGAGGAACUGCAACUGAUCCUACUUCCCGUGAGUACAGGAGAGGAAAGUGGAAUUCGUGGUGUAGCGGUGAAAUGCGUAGAUAUUACGAAGAACACCAGUGGCGAAGGCGACUUUCUGGACAGCAACUGACGUUGAGGCACGAAAGUGUGGGGAGCAAACAGGAUUAGAUACCCCAGUAGUC